GUUCGACCUUCCCUCGUGAUUUGACCACCUCGUUCGAUCUCUCGCCUUGUACAAAAACCAUCGCUCGGUGUCCCACACGGCCACACAAAAUCCAGCCCGCAAGCCCAUGUACCAUCGAUACUGCAUUGGACGUGGCCCACCCCGUGUUGGACGUGGCCCGGAAACCAGCCCACACUUCCUCCCAUCCCAGACCGAAUACAGAGAGAGAGAUUGUCGCUAACACGCACUCACGUCUCUGCCUCCCCCAACUCCCAACUCACUCCCGAUCCCGACCCCAUCUCUCUCCAGGAAAAGUCGCCGCUGCCGCCGGCUAUGCUCGUCGCCCCGCCGCCUUUCCAUCCGCUGCCACACGCCUUUCUGGAUCAAGGUGAGGGAUGCCUCCCGUCCCGUGCGCCCGCCUUGGAAGAGAGAGGGGGAGAGAAAGACAGAGAUAAGAGAGAGGGAGGGGCGGACAGCGGCGGCGCUGGCCUAAUCGCCGACAGAGGAAGAUGAGGUUGUGGUUCCAAAGCGUGACGGGUCGGCGCUGCUGAUUCACGGCUGUCGACUUCCUUGUUUGCUUCUGGCUGCGGGCGCGGCGCACCUUGCCUUCAUGUCACCAAGAAGGUCUGCAGUCCAUCAUCAUCCGACGUAAAACUUCAGGGCGGCCACCAGAAAGAUCAUGAUAUGCCGCCAUUAUGCAGGAGCUCUCGGUUAUGGUUAGGAUAAUUUUUUUUGGAUAAUCCUGGUCUGAAACCUUGUGCAGAAGGAAAAAUCUGCUUCCCAAUCAAGCAGUUCAUCAACAACAAUGCCAAGAUUAAUAAUAAGUUCAACAAGGAAGCCAAACAACUUUUUAUAGUGUGCACUCUCACAAGUAUUAUGGCCUGGUAAACAAGAAGGCGGCCAACUGCUUGUAAAGAGAAACCGAUAAGGAGAGCUCGACAUAUAAGGUGAUUAUCGCUUCUCUUUGAUUUCUUUCAGCAUGAACGUAGAUGUGCAAAUUCAGAUAACUUUUAUUGUCUGUGUCGCUUCAAUACAGAUUUUAUUAUCUGUUCAUCUUUCUAACUUUAACCAGUGGUUUGGUUGUAGACCGGCAGCAAACUGUAGUACAAUAAAUCAGGUAAUUAAUUUGUUGUUUUACCGCAUUCUGGUAUCAACUACUAAGCAAAGUAGUACAAUAAACAAUUUUGGCUUGCAUCGAUUUUUCUUGUUACUAUGUCUUUUUUGAAAGGACAAAUUAGUUUUAAAGUUAAUUUUAUUUUUCACCAUUUGACAUGUUAAUAUUUUUGUCGUGUACUGAUAUACUCCCUCCAUCCCAACAUAAGUGUCUUUGAUUUAAUAAACUUUACAAAAUUGUACUAAAUCAAAGAUGCUUAUUUUGAGAUGGAGGGAGUGCUUGCCUUGCGUUUUUCCUUUCUUUUAGUGCUAGGAAAAAACAAAUGUCGGUUGAUAUGCUCUUGAUAUGGCCCUGCUAAGUACAAUUAACUUCGUUUUAAAAAAUCACACAUAUAUUCUGAUUCAUAAUAGCAUUGUAGGCAAAGGGUUGGAACACGCGGUGUUUAAAAUUUAGACAAUAAUUUUUAGUAUAGUAUUCCGAGGAUUGGACAACAAUUUUUAGUAUAGUAUUCCGAGGACUACUAGAUGGUUUAAGGUGACAGCUUCGGAUCCCAAAAAUGUGUGUGAGGAGUCUCCAAACGCGCGCUACAGGCUACAUCCUUAGGUUUAGUCGUCUAUUCUAGCUUAAUCGUGUAUAGACCAUUCCAUUAGUGAUAUUGAUCCCUCCGUUCAUUUUUAUAAGGCGUUUAAAACAACUGGCUUUGAACUGUUUAGAACACUGUCUGAACAGGCUUAAACGUCUUAUAUAAGUGAACAAGGAGAGUAGUAGUUAUCACGAGGAAUCCCUCAUAUCUGGAUUGAGAAUUUGCUAUUAUGAGAUUUUUCAUCCAUGUCGUGCUCUACUCAAUUGGCAUACUAGGCAACCUGUACAUGGCCAAAAAAGAUCUGACCGCCGAAUCCCGUCCUCGAGCAGGCUUAGGAAUUGAAGAUACCUAGACUCCCAUGAGGUGGGUAUCAUCAGGUAAAGCUAUGUUAUGAACAGCGACAACUCAUAUGAGGAUGUCGAGGAGAUCAAUUUGAUUCCUUUAUUGCUAUUAUUGCACGACAAUAUCCAUUAUUGUCGCUAUUGUUAGGAAAAAUAUCCCAAUGUACACACUGUAUUUGCUAAUGUAACAGCACGAUUAAUCUCAAUCUGGGACAAUGCAUUAUUUUCUAAAUAUAGUCAAACAUCACCGGAUAUAUACUUUGAGCAGUCAAAGGAACAUGCUACCAGCAGGAAGAAAACAUGCUUGCAUUUUCUUAGAUGGUAUGUAGGACCUGAAUACUAUUUGCCGGACUGCCCACGUACUAUGUAUAUUGUAACAGAACUACAUGGAUAAUAAUAUCAUUAGAAACACUUGAAAGAAUUACGGUGGCUGUUAGUUUGCUUGAAGUGAGUAUACACUACAAUGCUUCUCAUAGCUUUAUACUUCUAUGAUGCAAACUUAUGUAUUCUGGAGUUUUUUUUUUUGCUAGGGAACUCUGAAGCAUGUGGUUGAAGUAAAUCUACAUUCUGAGAAAGAAUUUGCAUAUUCAGGAGCACUGCAAACGUAGUGCUUGCUUUGUUAAUAUUUUUAUGUUCUCAAGGAUGUUAAAGGGUUCCUCCUGAGAACCAAGAGGACAAGCUUGAACUCAAGCUGCCUCUUCACAUAGAAGUGCUUGAACGCAAUAUGCUCCUCCUGAGUCAGUUGACAGAUAUAGAAAUAAGAUUUUAUGAGAAGUAACCUGAAGGUCAGAUUUGUUUUGUAGUAACUGUACCUCUUAUGUUAUCUUUUUCUUCUUUAUGAUUGGGAGUAGUAUAUGUUGUUUUAGAGGGUCUAUUUUUCAGAAAAUAAGAUUAUGCUUUUUUGUUUCUGUACUCAACGUAAUUCAUGUUUCCUUUCACUUAGUUGCGAGAGGCACUGGUUAAGUUUUAUUUCAACUAAUUGGUCGCUGAAAAAGAUAUUAAAAUAAUAUUUUGAAUUGAUAAAACAUAAUAUAUAUAAAAAUACAACAUUUUGAAGAGGGUUCAAACACAAUGGCGACAAAAAAGGUGAAGGGAAAGGAAGGGUAAGGAUAAAGAUAUGAUGUGAGGAGAGCGUGGUUAAAUAAACACAACCAUGCCUACGAAGAAAGAAGGGGAAGAAAUAAUGAAUCUGUUGUUAUAGGGAUUGAAACAAUCAUGCUUCACUAUGUUUUCUGUUUGUAUUUGCCAAUGUAACAUCAUGAUUAAUCUCGAUCUUGGACAAUGCAUUAUUUUCUAAAUAUAGUCAAAUAUCACCGGAUAUAUACUUUGAACAGUCAAAGGAACAUGCUACCAGCAGGAAGAAAACAUGCUUGCAUUUUCUUAGAUGGUAUGUAGGACCUGAAUACUAUUUGCCGGACUGCCGACGUACUAUGUAUAUUGUAACAGAACUACGUGGAUGAUAAUAUCAUUAGAAAAACUUGAAAGAAUUACGGUGACUGUUAGUUUUCUUGAAGUGAGUAUACACUACAAUGCUUCUCAUAGCUUUAUACUUCUAUGAUGCAAACUUAUGUAUUCUGGAGUUUUUUUUUUUUUGCUAGGGAACUCUGAAGCAUGUGGUUGAAGUAAAUCUACAUUCUAAGAAAGAAUUUGCAUAUUCAGGAGGACUGCAAACGUAGUGCUUGCUUUGUUAAGAUUUUUAUGUUCUCAAGGAUGUUAAAGGGUUCCUCCUGAGAACCAAGAGGACAAGCUUGAACUCAAGCUGCCUCUUCACAUAGAAGUGCUUGAACGCAAUAUGCUCCUCCCGAGUCAGUUGACAUAUAUAGAAAUAAGAUUUUAUGAGAAGUAACCUGAAGUUCAGAUUUGUUUUGUAGUAACUGUACCUCUUAUGUUA